UUCCAGACUCCUACGGGAGGCAGCAGUGAGGAAUAUUGGUCAAUGGGCGGGAGCCUGAACCAGCCAAGUCGCGUGAGGGAAGACGGUCCUACGGAUUGUAAACCUCUUUUGCCGGGGAGCAACGGGGUCCUUGCGAGGGCCCGAUGAGAGUACCCGGAGAAAAAGCAUCGGCUAACUCCGUGCCAGCAGCCGCGGUAAUACGGAGGAUGCGAGCGUUAUCCGGAUUUAUUGGGUUUAAAGGGUGCGCAGGCGGAAUGUCAAGUCAGCGGUAAAAUUUCGGGGCUCAACCCCGUCGUGCCGUUGAAACUGGCGUUCUUGAGUGAGCGAGAAGUAUGCGGAAUGCGUGGUGUAGCGGUGAAAUGCAUAGAUAUCACGCAGAACUCCGAUUGCGAAGGCAGCAUACCGGCGCUCAACUGACGCUCAUGCACGAAAGCGUGGGUAUCGAACAGGAUUAGAUACCCCAGUA
rnacentral:rRNA from 1 species